ACGGGUGAGUAACGCGUGAGUAACCUGCCUUUCAGAGGGGGAGUAACGUUCUGAAAAGAACGCUAAUACCGCAUAACAUCAAUUUAUCGCAUGAUAGGUUGAUCAAAGGAGCAAUCCGCUGGAAGAUGGACUCGCGUCCGAUUAGCCAGUUGGCGGGGUAACGGCCCACCAAAGCGACGAUCGGUAGCCGGACUGAGAGGUUGAACGGCCACAUUGGGACUGAGACACGGCCCAGACUCCUACGGGAGGCAGCAUG
rnacentral:rRNA from 1 species